rnacentral:tRNA from 1 species
GAUCCUUUGGUCUAACGGUUAAGACUCUUGUCUGUCUAACAAGUAAUAAGGGUUCGAUUCCCUUAAGGAUCG